rnacentral:rRNA from 1 species
CUGGCUCAGGAUGAACGCUAGCGGCAGGCUUAACACAUGCAAGUCGAGGGGCAUCGGGAGUAGCAAUACUUGCCGGCGACCGGCGCAAGGGUGCGUAACGCGUGAGCAACAUGCCCGUAUCAGGGGGAUAAUCCAUGGAGACGUGGUCUAAUACCCCAUAGUAAUUAUGUAAGGCAUCUUAUAUAAUUUAAAGCUUUGGUGGAUACGGAUUGGCUCGCGUGACAUUAGCUAGAUGGUAAGGUAACGGCUUACCAUGGCUACGAUGUCUAGGGGGUUCUGAGAGGAAGGUCCCCCCACACUGGAACUGAGACACGGUCCAGACUCCUACGGGAGGCAGCAGUGAGGAAUAUUGGACAAUGGAUGGAAAUCUGAUCCAGCCAUGCCGCGUGCAAGGAAGACGGCCCUAUGGGUUGUAAACUGCUUUUGUAUGGGAGCAAUAAGGGCUACGCGUAGUCCGAUGAGAGUACCAUACGAAUAAGCACCGGCUAACUCCGUGCCAGCAGCGGC